rnacentral:tRNA from 1 species
GGGAAUUUGGUCUAGCGGUAUGAUUCUCGCUUAGGGUGCGAGAGGUCCCGAGUUCGAUCCUCGGAAUUCCCC